rnacentral:piRNA from 1 species
UGAUAACAAAAAUAUCAUAUCAGCUGC